rnacentral:lncRNA from 1 species
AGUUUUCACGAUGCACCCUUGAGGCUAGGCACGCUGAUUCAACACACUUGGAGAGCUUCACCGAAACACACUAAACACACAGUGAUGAACUGUGCCCUGGCAGAGAUGACCUGGCAAAAUUCUCAACUUCUUCCCUGAGGCAGUGCACCCGCAGUUCUCGGCGGCGAAGUCUUUGGGGCAGAAGUCCCGAGCCUUCAGAACGGCAGGCUUCUCCCCCUCAGGACUCCAGUCCCCGCGGCCAAGGCUGUCGCUGCGGGGGCCCCGCGCGGGACUGGCCAGGCUCUUCCAUUAACCCUGUCUGGUCCGGCCGAUCCCGCCGCGACCCGAGCGCCUCUCGGCCCCGCAGCACAGGGCGCCCAGGACCCGCCACCCUCGCCGCCCGUUCCCCUCUCCGGAGAGCCCGGCGGGGCCGUCAGGCUGCCGAGACAAAGGGUACCGCGGCGCCAGAGGCCGAGGCCCAGCCGCGCCUGCCUUCCUCUUUCUCCCGCCCACUGCCAACCUCCAGUCGCCCGCAGAACCUCCGCUGCCUCGGCGCGACCCCAUCGCCACCCCGGGGCUGCCGCUCGGGACCGGCAAGCCGGGUAGCCGCGAGGCGGCCGCGGCAUGCUAGGGCCGAGGAGGGGGCGGCGGCCGCCACCAUGUCUGCCCGCCCCUCCCAGAAGCAGUGUGCCCAGCGGACAAAGCGCAGCGGCGGCGCGGGCGCCCAGGCCGACCCCGCCGACCCCCGCGGAAUAAGCGGGGCCAGGAGCCCCGGAAACCCGGCGCCUUAAUGCAAUAAACAGGAAAUCGCGGGGAUGAUCUGGGUUCCGGGGGAAGUGGAAUUAUUUUUUACCAGCGAAGAGAUCAACUUCCACAUCCGGUGGUAACAGGGCCCUACACAGACCCGCACUGACCUGGAAAAGCUUCGGGAGCGGCGACGGGAAGGCAGCAGGAGGUGGUGCGGGGACCCGAGGCGCCUCGUACCCGGCCGGGCUGACGCGGCCCCGCUACACACAAAGCGCUUCAGCUGCACAGGGCGCUAUUUUCCGAAAAUGCCGCGUCUGGUCGGCGCCCAAAAUCCCCACCGAAAAGUCCCCCGUGCUGCGCGCGGAGGGACACAUGGUGUGCGAGUGAGUCAAGCUCCCAGCAUCCCUCCCGGACCCGGCCCUCUUCAGCUCAUCGCCCGAGGAUUUUCCGCCUCUGCCCUCGUCGGCAGAUCCUGCUCCUACCCACUCCCUAGCUGUGUUCCCGCGGGGAGAGAGGGGAAAGAGGGUCUGAUUUUUUAACGAAGGGAAAGAAAAUAUGCCAUUUCUAGCGCUUCAGCCACACAAAGAAAGCGGCGGAAUGAUCCGCUCUCGGCGACCGCAAGUCCCGGCUCGCCCGGCGCCUGCGCGGCAGCGGGGGUGGGAGCUGCGGACGGCCAUGUGCGCGGCGGAGAGGCCGGGUGGCCACCGAACCUUCCCGCCUGUUCUGCGGGGCGUCUGGGCAUGGCUUUCCCAACCUAGUAACUGCAACUUUUAGCAUCCUACAUGUAGGACUUGGGAAUAUGUGAGACAGCGCCAAGAAUUUAAUCCAGGAGAAUUGACAAGCUUAAAUGAAAUCCAUAUUGCCCACUGAUUUUGUGCAGCUUCAGAUAAGUAAUCUUUCUCCACUUAGCCUUUUGUAACAAUUGAUGUAAUAAAGGUUUGUAGUCUUUGUGUAAUUUAUUAAAGCAUUGUGCCUAAAAUAGAAAAAAAGCAUAGGAACCAUAGGCUGUGUUUUCUUUUGAUUUAAUAUUUUCAUUUCUUCAGUUAAUAGAAAUUUGCCAAAUUCUGAUGUUUUUCUGUAGCAUUAUUUGAAUGAGCAUUGUUUAUUUGAGUGAACAUUCAGCUAAUUGUUACAGAAUCGUUGCCCCCAUUAAUCUUAGGCUGUAGAAUGUAGACAAGUAAAUAGGCAUCAUCAGUAUGAUGAGAGUGAAGCUACUUAAUACUGUGGAAUCAAAUAAAGGAGGAACCCCUUACUAAACCAAGAGGGAGGAAUAAAAUGGAAUGGGACUAGAGAAGCAAUUAGCUUUAAUAAGGGUAUUAUGGAAGACUUUCUAGAUGAGAAGCAGUAAGUACAGAUGUUUGGAGGCAAACACUAGAGAGAUUGUUGGGUAAAGAAGACAAUGCUGGAGGUCUACUUGUGAAGGCCUUGAAUGCUAUGUGCAGAAGUCAGCUUCUGAGAACCAGGAAGAAGAUAUUGAAAGAUUUUAAGUAGAAGAAUCAUAGGAUUGAAUUCAUUUUAGACAGAUCACUGUUACACAAAAAUUUGAGGCAAACAGAAGAGUUUGGAGUAAACAGUAGGCUGUGAGCCAGUAAUGACUUGGACUGAGUUGGUAGCAGGUAGGUGUGAAGAAAAUAAAGUGGUUAUUGGGAGAUUUGGUUAACUGAAAAUGACUGAGGGAGAUAGAUGUCAGGUGACUCCCAAGUGAGUUGGUGGAGCAGCUAGGAGGAUAGUAAUGUCUUCACUGAGAUUAGAAACAAAAUAAGAGAAUAUAUGUUAGGGAAGGAAGAAGUCUUUGUUUUGACCAUGUAAAAUUUGAAGUGCAUGUGAGCCAACCAGUCAUAUAUGUGUAGUGUGCAAUUAGAUAUUCAUUCAACACUGUUGGAAGAGCACCUACUCUGUGCCUGGUACUGUUCUACACACUGAAAUAGGUAAAGCAGCAGCAAAACAAAUGGUUCCUACUCCUGUUUUUUAGAGGGAAACAGCAUAUAAACAAGUUUUAAAAAUAAGAGGAGAGAGAAUAUCCCAUAAAUUCGUGAAGAAGGCUGGGUGCAGUGGCUCAUGCCAGUAAUCCCAGCAGUUUGGGAGGCCGAGGUGGGUGGAUCUCCUGAGUUCAGGAGUUAAAGAGCAGCCUGGCCAACAUGGCAAAACCCCGUCUCUACUGAAAAAAAUUAGCUGGGCAUGGUGGCACGCUCCUGUAAUUCCAGCUACUCCGGAGGCUGAGGCAGGAGAGUAGCUUGAACCCAGGACACGGAGGCUGCAGUGAGCCGAGAUUGCGCCACUGCACUCCAGCCUGGGCGACUGAACGAGACUCCGCCUCAAAAAAAAAGAGUUUGUGAGGAAAAUUAAAAGCUGAUUGGAUAAAGUGUUACUCUGGGGAAAAGAGAGCAAACUUUUGGUGGUUGGUUGAUCAGAGAUGGCCUCACUGAGAAGGUAUUAGAAAGGACAAGAACAGUGUGAGACCAAAGGGAAUAGCUGGGCAAAGGCCCUAAGGUGAAAAAUUUGUUGUGUUUAGGGAAUAGCAAGGUCAGUGUAUCCGAAAUCUAGUGACCAAAAGAAGGAAUGAUAGGAGGUGAAGUCUUCAGCCUCAAUAAGAAGGUGAAGUGCACUGGAAGCCAUUGAAGGAUUUAAGAAAUGGAGUAUCUGGCCGGGCGCGGUGGCUCACGCCUGUAAUCCCAGCACUUUGGGAGGCCGAGGUGGGAGGAUCAAGAGGUCAGGAGAUGGAGACCAUCCUGGCUAACAUGGUGAAACCCCGUCUCUAUUCAAAAUAAAAAAUUUUUUUAAAAAUUAGCCAGGCGUGGUGGCGGGCGCCUGUAGUCCCAGCUACUCGGGAGGCUGAGGCAGGAUAAUGGCGUGAACCCAGGAGGCAGGGCUUGCAGUGAGCCGAGAUCGUGCCACUGCACUCCAGCCUGGGCGACAGAGCGAGACUCCGUCUCAAAAAAAAAAAAAAAAAAAAAAGAAAUGGAGUAUCAUGGACUAGGAUAGUAGCAGUAGAGAUGAGGGAAGUGGAUGGAUCCAAAAAGCUGACCUAUCUUGCUUACCAAUUAAAUGAGGAAAGGGAGGAAUCAAUAGUGAUGCCUAGGUUUGGGGCAUGUUGUCUAGGUGGAAUUAAUUUUAAUUACACUUUUAACCCCUAGCAUAUCCAAAUAUUAUUUCACAUGUGAUCAACAUAAAAAAUUACUAAAUAUUAAAAAUAUUUUACAUUAUCUUUCUCAUAACUAAGCAUUUGAAAUCUGGUGUGUAUUUUAUACUUAUAGCAUAUCUCAGUACUUGAUUUCAUAAAAUUUCCAGCUGAAAAAAUAGAUUCACGUACCCAAGUCGUUCCAAGCAUACUUAAAAGUUUUACGGUAAUCGAAUCGUGUAUAUUUUUAAAUUUUAUUUUAAAUUAAAGUUAGGAUUAUGAAUUCAGUUCCUAAAUUAGCCUCAUUUCACUUCUGCAUUUCAAGUGGGACAAGUUAUUACCAUAUUGGACAAUGCAGUCUAGUGAAGUAGAGGAUAGUGGAAAGUCAGACUUAAAAAGUUGUUUAGAACCAGCUCUGGAAGGCCUUGGAUGUCAGAUUAAAGGACUGAGAUUUUACCCUUGAGUCAGGCAGAAUAAUGGAUGGUUUUUGAACUAAGGAGUGACACAAGGUUGUGCUUAUGACUAGAAGGAGGCCACUAGGUGGCCAGCUGGUGAGUCAGGACACCCUUCAGUUGCUUUGACUUCAGCCCUGUGGAUUCAAAGUCUGAUUUUUGUCAGCGCUCUAGAGCAGUCUCACCAAAAGUGUGGUCCACAAGGCAGUGCCAGUCUGUAAGCCCUUUGUUACACAUCCAUGUCAAGGCAUUUACAGAAAGUAAGAAUUUAGAAACUUAUAGCAGUUUAACAGACUAAUUUUAUUUCUGUGGGUCUAAUAAAAAUUUGAGGGAUUGUACUUUGCAUAUUCUUUAUUUCCCUUUUUUUGUUUGUUUUUUGUGUUCGAGAUGGGAGUCUUUUUCUGUCGCCAGGCUGGAGUGCAGUGGUGCAGUCUCGGCUCACUGCAACCUCUGCCUCCUGGGUUCAAGCGAUUCUCCUGCCUCAGCCUCCCAAAUAGCUGGGAUUACAGGUGUGCACCACCACAUCCAGCUAAUUUUUGUAUUUUCAGUAGAGACGGGGUUUCACCAUGUUGGCCAGGAUGGUCUUCAUUGCCUGACCUUGUGAUCCGCCUGCCUCAGCCUCCCAAAGUGCUGGGAUUACAGGCGUAAGCCACCGUGCCCGGCCCUUUUUUCCUUUUUAGUUUAUUUUUUUCUUUUUUGAGACAGAGUUUCGCUCUUAUUGCCCAGGCUGGAGUGCAAUGGUGCGAUCUUGGCUCACCGCAACCUCUGCCUCCUGAGUUGAAGCGAUACUCCUACCUCAGCCUCCCAAGUAGCUGGGAUUACAAGCAUGCACCACCAUACCCUGCUAAUUUUGUAUUUUUAGUAGAGACGGGUUUCUCCAUGUUGGUCAGGCUGGUCUCGAACUCCCAACCUCAGGUGAUCUACCUGCCUUGGCCUCCCAAAGCGCUGGGAUUACAGGUGUGAGCCACUGCACCCGGCCGUUUUUUUCUUUUUCUAAUAAUUUUUAUCAUAUUACAUAAAAGUACCUAUGGUCUCACAGAUGAAGGGAGUCAGAAGAACCAAACUCCCAGAAGACAUAUAAAUCUAAAUGCCUUUUUUACUUUAGAGUGAAAACUGUAAUAGCUAAAUUAUAAUGGACAUCUGCUCAUUUUCUCCCUCCAUGUAGACAUGGAAAGCUACACGGAAAUAACCGAGUUUAUAGUAGCUACCAUAUAUUAAACGUUUCCUGUAUGCCAGCCACUGUGCAAAGCAUAUUAUAUAUAUUGUCUCAUUUAAUCCUCACAACUCUGUAAAAUAAGUAUUGUUUGCCCCAUUUUUCCAAUGAAGAAACCGAGGCUAAAAUAGGUUGAAUAACUUACCUGUACUGUAUCUGUUAAUUCCAAAUUCCCUGGCAUAAAGACUCAGUACAUUGUUUAAAGAGAAUGCAUGAAGUUAACUGCAUUACCUUUUGGAGGGUUCAUUUGUGAAUUUGGGGCCAAAGUAAGGGGAGUUACUGGUAUUCUAAUAGCAUCAAACAAAUGAAUUCAUUUCAUCUUUUGGGGAGGUGGAGGGAAUAAGGUCUCACCUUGUCGCCCAUGCAGGCUGGAAGGCCGUGAUGUGAUCUCAGCUCACUGCAGCCUCAACCUGGGCUCAAGCGAUCCUCCCACCUCAGCCUCCUGAGUAGCUGGGACUACAGGUGCACACCACCACGCCCAGCUCAUUUUUGUAUGUUUUGUAGAGACUGUGUUUUGCCACGUUGCCCAGGCUAUUCUCAAACUCCUGAGCUCAAGUGAUCCUCCCACCUCAGCCUCCCAAAGUGCUGGGAUUACAGAUGUAAUCCACCACACCCAGCCAAAUGCAUUCAUGUCUACAAUAGAAAUACAUCUCUUUGCUGCUAUCUUGAAUUUGUAGACUCCCACAAAUCAAUAAAAAAGAAGACAUCCAAUAAAAAAAUGGGUAGAGGCCAGGCAGUGGCUAACACCUGUAAUCCAAGCACUUUAGGAGGCCCAGGCAGGCAGAUCACUUGAGGUCAGAAGUUCAAGACCAGCCUGGCCAACAUGACAAAACCCUGUCUCUACUAAAAAUAUAAAAAUUAGCCAGACGUAGUGGCACGUACCUGUAAUCACAACUACUCGGGAGGCUGAGACAGGAGAAUUGCUUGAACCCAGGAGGCAGAAGUUGCAGUGAGCCAAGAUCGUGCCACUGCACUCCAGCCUGGGCGACAAAGCAAGACUCCAUCUCAAAAAAAAAAAAAAAAAAAAAGGUAGAAACUUAAACAGUCACCUCACAAAAAAGGGUAUCUAAAUAUUAGUUUCUUAAAAAAUAUAAAAGGGGCGUGUAGAUGGCCGAUAAACAUGUAAAAGAUACUCAACUAAUUUAAUCAUUAGAGAAAUGCAAAUUAAAACCUAAAUGAUAUUUUAAUCUCACAUCCAACAGAAUGGCUAAAAUGGAAAACCCAGAAAAUGCCAGAUGUUGGUCAAGAGUUGGAGUAACUGAAACUACACAGCUGCUGGAAAUGUAUAUUGGUAUAACCACUUUGGAAAAUGGGAAGUUCAACAAACAGGCAAACCAAUCUAGAUUUAGGGAUAUAUGUUUAGGUAGUAAAAGUAUAAAGAAAAGAAAUAGUUAGCUUUGCAGGGAGUAGUGCUUGGGAGGUAAUAGGUGCUUCUGGAGUGCUGUUGAUGUUCUGUUCCUAAGUAGGGUGCUAUGGCUUGAGUUUGGUUUGUCUGACCCUACCAAGUCUCAUGUUAAAAUUUCAUCCCCAGUGUUGGAGGUGAGGCCUGGUGGGAAGGGUUGUGGGAGUGGAUUUCUCAUGAGUGGCUUCGUAUUCUGUAAGGAGUGAGUUCAUUAAGAGACUGGCACCUCCUCUCUCCUUUCUCUCGCCAUGUGAUCUCUGCAUAUGUCAUCUCCUGUCUGCCUUCCACCGUGAGCAGCCUGAAGCCCUCACUGGAAGCAGAUACUGCUACCAUGCUUCUUGUACAGCCUGCAAAACCGUGAGCCAAAUAAGCCGAACAUUCUAAGACACUGGGAUUACAUGAGUGUUAGCACUCUAUGACUUAAUGAGAAGUAGGUUUUUUGGAGAAAAAUGUACUUUCAGUAUGUAUAUUAUAUAUUUCAUGGUUAUUUUUAAAACUCGUGAGCAAUGCUGGAUACACACUACCAACUAUUACUUCCCUGACUGAGCCAAUUUUUCUGUAAAUGCAUCACAAAUGUGAAAGAUAAGGUAGGCCUGAAUUCUGGGGAAUGACAAUGGUGAAGGAAAGGCGAGACAGGUGCAAAAGACACUGCAGAACUCAGGCUCAAAAUCUCAUCCUUAACUCCUUCCCUCAUCCCACCAUGUUGAAUCAGAUGUCAAUAGCAAUUUUAUAUGGCAUUUUUUAAGCUUGCAAAAAGUUAUAAACAGAAAAUGUUCAUUUUAUCACUCCAUCACAGACGAAAAACAUGAAAUUAAGCUAGGAAACAUGUUCAGGUGAUUAGAGUAGAUAGAACAUAGACUAAAAACCAGUGAACUUAUAAAAAAAAAUCCCAUGAUGUGGACAAAAAAAAAGAACUUGUGGCUCCUCACUCCAACUCCUGUGACUCUCUCACCUUACCCCCACUGCCUUCAAGUUUUUUGUAGAAAGAGAAAUUUUGUAUGGAUUGAGUUUAAGAUGAUGCCAGAAUAUCAAGGUAGAAUUAUUAAACACACAAAAGCUAAGGUUUGGUACUCUGAAAAAAGGUCAGAAUUGGUGAUAGAAAAUUAGAAGUUACCCAUCCAUAGAAGGGUAAUAAAGCCAUGAGAGUGAAGGAAACCAGUGAGAGAGAAUAUUGAGAAAAGUACUGAAGGACAGAGAAGGAGAAGCGAAGGAGGAAAGCAAAUCAGCAUUUAUUGAGCAUCUGUUAAACUGUAUGGCAGCUGCUCUACAUUUACUAUCUCAUUUAUUCCUUUCCAUUUCCAAGGUAGCCAAUUUUAGCCUCACUUGAUAGACUGGCUUUGUAGACUCAAAAAGCAGUAAAAAGAACCAGCAUUCAAAACCAGCUUGACUCCAGUUUAUUCUGUGUACUACACCAUUCCUGGAGAGGCUAAGUGUGUGUUACAGAAGACCAUGGGGAGAAUUUAGCUCAAGUAAAGAUAAGCCCUGGGAAAAGACCAUUGGAUUUUUGUGUUUUUUGACUAAGGGGUUCCCAUAACAUAGCAGCACCUGCACUCCUGUCUUAACGCGUCUGUGAAUGUGGGUAAUCCAGACAAAUGUAAACGCCUGUCAAUAAGGGGGGAAAAAGUCAAGAUAGUAAAUGUAAAAAUUAGUAUAAUGAAAACAAACCAGUUAUUAAAUUCUAUCUAGAUACUCUUGCCAACCAAGCACUUCGAAUCUCAAGGCUUGAAUGAAGAAUAGCUUUUUUUUUCUCUGAGACACGGUCUUACUCUGUUGCCCAAGCUGGCGUGCAGUGGCAAGAUCUCAGCUCACUGCAGCCUGGAUUUCCCAUGCUCAGGUGAUUCUCCCACCUCAGCCUCCUUAGCAGCUAGAACUACAAGCGCAGCCACCAUGCCUGGCUAAUUCUGUGUAUUUCUGGUAGAGAUGGGGUUUUGCCAUGUUGCCCAGGCUAGUCUUGAACUCCUGAGCUCAAGCGAGACACCCACCUUGACCUCCCAAAGUGUUGGGAUUACAGACAUUAGCCACCACGCCUGGCCUGUAAACAGGAAUAACUUUCUUGCUGUGUGAUUCAAUGUUAUUUACUGCUUUGUUCAUGUACUGCCUAUGUUGAUUAUCACCAGUGGUAUGGAUCCUGCACAUUGGGAAACACUGCAGUGUUAUUUAAUUUUGUUCACUGUGUUUACAGUGCAGUUUUAGUCACCUGAAAUUCUAAGAGAAAAGAUCAAUAUGGUUUUGCCAAUCAAAGGUCAUUAAUACUUGGAAUGAAAGAUAACUUAUCCUGGUGAUGAACACAUGCCUUUUGAAAAGCAUCAGUAUCUCCUUAAAAUGUAUAAACUACUGUAAUCAAUGAGGAAGACUUUUUCUUAUCAGAUUUAUUAAACUCAUUUACCAUACAAAUAGCAUUAUAACAUUAAAGAAAAUUUUUUAAAAAUUCUGUACCAUAAAACAAUUACUGGUUCCUUCCUACCUGUUUUUAGGUUUGCAGAUGAAUAAUGUGUGGAUUUUUGGCAGACACACUGCUGAAAAUUUUUCACUUUGUUGGGUGAGCAUCUCACCCUAUCUCCAUUUGUCUCCCUGCUCGUGAGUUCUAGAGAAGACCACCAGUAAGCAAGUGAAAUUCUUUGGCCAAGUCACUGAUAUCAGAAUUCCCCAGAGGCACCAAGAACUUUGAUUUCCAGAAAUUGUUUAGGCACAGCCACUCAUUCAACCUUAUAUUUUGUAUCUCAGAGUUAAGGUUGCAUUUGGGCUACCUAGCCUGUAGACUCUAUUUUAAGACAAGCAGGCAUUUAAUAGUUGUUGGUUGGUUGAUUAGAGCUUCUAGCCAAUUUUUAAAAAUUAUUUGAAUAGAUAAGGCAUUCACUGGUUCAAAAAAAAUUUUUUAAUCAUCACUUCCACCCAUCCAGUUAUCACUACUGAAGUAACCUCUACUUUUUGUUUCUUGCAUAUUCUUUCUUUCUUUUUUUUUUUUUUUUUUUUUUUUGAGACAUAGUCUCGAUCUGUCGCCCAGGCUGGGGUGCAGUGGCGUGAUAUUGGGUCACUGCAACCUCCGUCUCCCGAGUUCAAGCAAUUCUCCUGCCUCAGCCUCCCAUGUAGCUGGGACUACAGGCGCGUGCUACCACGCCCGGCUAAUUUUUAUAUUUUUAGUAGAGACGGGGUUUCACCAUGUUGGCCAGGCUGGUCUUGAACUCCUGACCUCAGGUGAUCGCUUGCCUCGGCCUCCCAAAGUGGAGUUACAGGCAUGAAUCACAGUGCCCAGCCUCUUGUAUAUUUUUCCACAUACACAUUUUUUCAUACAUACAUAUGUGAGAAUAAAUGUUCUUAUUCCCCCUCCCCCAUUUUUAUGUAGGAGAAAAUACCGUACAAACCCUUCUGCACAUUGGACUUGAGAUGGCUUUUCCAUCUCAGUGCAAAAAGGCGACAUUUUUUCUUAACCACUGCACAUUAUUUGGUUAUCACCCAGUUUAGGGACAUUGAGUUUCUUUUGUACUCUAGUGCUUGAAUGAUUAUCCUUGGAUGUACAUCUUUCCUUGUAUAUUUAAAUAUGUCUCAUCUCAGUUUCCACAGGUGGAAUUGCUCUGCAAAAAGGCAUAUAUGUAUUUUUAAUUUGCCCUCUAUGUACUAAAUGUUUUCACCCCAGCAUUGCUGAUGGAUUAGAGUGCUGCCAAGUUUUUGGAUUUUUACCUACCAGCUUUUGAAGGGCAGAUUAUUUCAAGUCUUAAUUAAUAUUUUCAGGAACAGUAACAAUAUCAUUUGGUUAAAUUGAGAGAAAUGGGGUUCAGUUGACAGAAUUUGUUCAGGAUAUAGAAUUUUUCUGCUGCUGCUCCUGCAGCUACACACCUACAACUAGUAAAAACAUGGUUGCUUAGGUUGUCAAAUGACCAGCAAACCUGGAGAGGAACCUGGAAUGACUAUAAACAGCUCCACCCACACUUUUUUUGGGCAAAUGUGCAAGCUUAGUAGAAUCUAAAAGGAUACUUCAGCCUUUGUUUGAGUUGCAGAAAAUUAACAUGGUAAGGAGGAAAAAAUCACUAAUUUUUUUAAAAAGUUCCCUGAUACAGGAACUGAAAAUGAUUUUUGACCAACCUGGGCAAUAGAGCAAAAUCCCAUCUCUACAAAAAAAUACAAAAAUUAGUCGGGCAUGGUGGUGCUGCCUGUAGUGACGGCUACUCAUCCUGAGGUGGGAAGAUUGCUUGAGGCCAGGAGGUUGAGGCUGCAGUGAGCCAGGAUCACACCACUGCACCAGCCUGGGCUACAGAGUAAGACUCAAGAAAAAAAAAAGAUGUUUAAUUAAUCUUGCUUCAGUGCUGAGGUGGUACAGGGAGGGAGAAAGGGAUAUUGGGCUAUGAAUUCCAUCUAAACUGGGGAUUUUUAUCAGGGUGUGAAGAAAGAUUUUCAGGAAUAAUUAUCUGAGUUACUUGGAGUAAAAGUAGCAGGAGGAGGAAAAGAGAUAUGGCCUGUGGGUCUCUGACUUGCCAAACUUCUUAUUCAUUUUACAAAUCAUGAUUUCUAGAGCAUCUUAAUCUUUGAGGCCCAGCUGCUUGGAAGUUGCAUAAUCUCUAUACUUCAGUUCCCCCCUAUAAAAUGGGGAAUAUGAUAGAAUCUACCUUGUAUUUGAGAGGACUAAAUAAAUAUAAAGUGCUUAGAAAAGUAAGGACUCAACUACUAGUAAUAAUUAUUUUGACAUGUUUAAGUAAUCAGUACUAUCUGGAAAACUGUGCUAAUAGUGCCUGAUCUACACAAAUUUAAGUGACUAUACCCCUUUUUUGAGUCAGAGUCUCACUACGUUACCCAGGCUGGAGUACAGUGGUACGAUCUCUGCUCAGUGCAGCCUCCGCCUCCUGGGUUCAAGAGAUUCUCCAGCCUCAGCCUCCCAAGUAGCUGGGAUUACAGGCGCCUACCACCACACCUGGCUAAUUUUUGUAUUUUUAGUAGAGAUGGGGUUUUACCAUGUUGGCCAGGCUGGCCUCAAACUCUGGACUUCAAGUGAUCACCUGCCUCAGCCUUCUAAGGUGCUAGGAUUAUAGGCUUGAGCCACUGCAGCCACCACUCUGUAUAUCUCUUUUGAAAGUCAUAAGCAAUAUCUUUGGAAAAAACACUUAAGGUUAUUUAUUUAGAGGUAGUGUCUCUCUGUACCCCAGCUGGAGUACAGUGGCACAGUAUCACAGCUUGCUGCAGCAUCAAAUUCCUAGGCUCAAGCCAUCCUUCCACCGGACAUGUUGGCGUGCACCUCCUGAGUAGCUGGGACUACAGUUGUGCUCUACCACACCGGGCUAAUUUUUGUAUUUUUUAGUAGAGACAGGGUUUUGCCAUGUUAGACAGGCUGGUCUGGAACACCUGACCUCCGGUGAUCUGCCCACCUCAGUCUCCCAAAGGGCUGGGAUUAAAGGCAUGAGCCACCGCACUCAGCCACUUAAGGCUUUUAAAAAAUCAAUUAAUUUCUAAAUGGUUUUGGACUUUUGACUCCUUAUAAGUGUUAAGAUAUUUUGGUAUCACUUUUUUCCUUCCAAAAAAAAAAAAAAAACCAACUAGGUGAUAUCUAUUCCUCAGUCAAAGUUAAUUAAAACUAUUUUGGAUCCCAGCACUUUGGGAAGCCAAAGGCAGGCAGAUCACCUGAGGUCAGGAGUUCAAGACCAGCCUUGCCAACAUGGUGAAACCCUGUCUCUACUAAAAAUACAAAAAUUAGCAGAGCAUGGUGGCAGGCGCCUGUAAUCCCAGCUACUCAGGAGGCUGAGGCAGGAGAAUUGCUUGAACCCGGGAGGCGGAGUUUGCAGUGAGCCAAGAUAGUGCCAUCGCACUCCAGCCUGGACAACAGAGCGAGACUCCAUCUAAAAAAAAAAAAAAAAAAAAAAAAAACUCAGUUUUUGGUUUUGAAAAUGUCAUGAUACCUGUUGAGAUAACUGCUGAAUAGAUGGGUAAUACACAGUCUAGGGCAUGGUAUCAAAAGAACUUGUCACUGUACAUAUCGGAAAUGGUAAAAAUAUGUUUUGCCGUUUUCACGAAUUCAUUCAUUUUUCAUGUUUCAUGAAUUCAUUCUUUUUAAAAAAAAAAAAUCCUGCUAAUUCUCUGUUUCUCUUGCUUUUCUCCUUUAUGACUAAGUUUUCCUCAUUAUGGGUUACCCCACAUUACUGCUUACGAAGACAUCUCUUUAGUCAGAAAACAGUAGCUUGGUUCAGUUCUAGCUUCAUUGUUAAGCUCAUAGGUAAAUCUGGCAAAUGGCUAGAAACAGUCACAUGUUUGCUUGUCCUUAAUGCUCUCACCUUUUCCCAGCUAUUUGGAUGUAUAUACUUUUGCUUACUUUGUAGUGUACCAACUUAAUAUAUGUUAUAGACUAAAUGUUUAUGUCCUCCCAAACUUCAUAUUUUGGAAGCCAGACAUGGUAACUCACACCUGUAAACCUAACACUUUGGGAGGCCUAGGUGGGAGGAUUGCUUGAGUCCGGGAGUUCAGAACCAGCCUGGACAACAUAGUGAGACCCCGUCUCUACAAAAAAAAAAAAAAUUUUUAAUUAGCCAGGUGUGGUGGCAUACACCUGUAGUCCCAGCUACUCAGGAGGCUUGCCUGAGCCCAGAAGUUUGAGACUGCAGUGAGCCAUGAUAUUGCCAGCCUGGGUGACAGAGCAAGACCUUGUCUCAAGAAAAAAAAAAAAAAUUGCCAAUUGCGAUGGCUCACGCCUGUAAUCCCAGCACUAGGAGGCCGAGGUGGGUGAAUCACCUGAGGUCAGGAGUUUUGAGACCAGCCUGGCCAACGUGGCAAAACCCCGUCUCUACUAAAAAUGCAAAAAUUACCGGGACGUGUUGGUGAGCACCUGUAAUCCCUGCUACUCGGGAGGCUGAGGCAAGAGAAUCUCUUGAACCCAGGGGGUGGAGGUUGCACUGAGCCGAGAUCAUGCCAUUGUACUUCACCUGGGCAACAAGAGGGAAACUGUCUCCAAAAAAAAAAAAUUUGGAGGGCUGGGCACGGUGGCUCACACCUGUAAUCCCAGCACUUUGGGAGGCCAAGGCGGUGGAUCACAAAGUCAGGAGUUCAAGACCAGCCUGGCCAACAUAGUGAAACCCUGUCUCUACUAAAAAUACAAAAAUUAGCCAGGCAUGGUGGCACACGCCUGUAGUCCCAGCUACUGGGGAGGCUGAGGCAGGAGAAUUGCUUUGAACCCGGGAGGCAGAGGUUGUGAGCUGAGAUCGCGUCAGUACACUCCAGCCUGGGCAACAAUGCGAGAUUGCAUCUCAAAAAAAUAAAUAAAUAUUUGGAGUCCCAUAAUAAAUAAAUAUUUGGAGUCCAAUGUGAUAGUAUCUGGAGAUGGGGCCUUUGGAGGUAAUAUGGGUUAGAUAGGUCAUGACGGUAGGGCCCUCAUUAUGGGAUUAGUGGCGUUAUAAGAAGAAGAGAGAAAUCUUCCUCCUCAAGAGCAGAGGAAAAGCCAUAUAAGAAUACAGUGAGACGGCCACUUCCAAACCAGAAAGGGAGCCCCCACCAGGAACCAAAUUGGCUGGCACCUUGAUCUUGGACUUCCCAUGCUCCAGAACUGUGAGAAAUAAAUUUCUAUUAUUUAAGCCCAUGGUAGUUUUAUGGCAUCCUAAGCUAAGACAGCGCGUCUCUAGUUUCCCACAGAUUCAUAAAGGUCCAUACAAAAAUGUUAUAACUGUUAAUAGUGUCCUGUCCUUGAAUUUAACAGCAACCAACAUAUUGUUUGCAUAGUUCUUGCACCAUUUGGAAACAGUGACCUUUAGGUGUUGCAGGUAACUAUUGGGAAAUCCUUCAAUUUGUUUAACAUUUCCAUAUUUUGAUUUGCAUCUUGGGAGUUGCUUGGAAUUUGGGAUCCUCUUCUGUCUCUUGAGUUGAAAUCAGAGGCUGCUUGCCGGGCAAGGUGGCUCACGCCUGUAAUCCCAGCACUUUGGGAGGCCCAGGCAGACAGAUCACCAGAUGUCGGGAGUUAGAAACCAGCCUGGCCAACAUGGCAAAACCCCGUCUCUACUAAAAAUACAAAAAUUAGUCGGGCGUGCUGGUGCAUGCCUGUAAUCCUAGCUGCUUGGGUGCUGAGUUAGGAGAAUUGCUUGAAUCCGGGAGGUGGAGGUUGCAGUGAGCCAAGAUCGUGUCACUGCACUCCAGCCGGGGCAACAGAGCAAGACUCUGCCUCAAAAAAAAGAAAAAAGAAAUCAGAGGCUGGGCAUAGUGGCUCAUGCCUAUAAGCCCAGCACUUUGGGAGGCCAAGGCAGGUGGAUCACUUGAGGCCAGGAGUUCAAGACCAGCCUGGGCAACAUGGCAAAAGCCUAUCUCUACUAGAGAUACAAAAGAUUAGCUGGACGUGAUGGUGUGUGCCUGUAAUCCCAGCUACUCAAGAGGCUGAGGCACAAGAGAAUUGCUUGAACACAGGAGGUGGAGGUUGCAGUGAGCCAAGAUCACGCCACUGCACUCCAACCUGGGGCAACAGAGUGAGACUCUGUCUCAAAAAAAAAAAAAAGAAAUCAGAGAUAAUAUAAAUGCAGGUGUAAACUCAUACACUUAAUGGGCUAUAAGUUUUGGAACUGGCUGUGAUAAUAUAACAAAAGUAAUAAUGGGCUGUAAGUGGUAUUAAAUGUGGGAUUAACUGGAUAUUUAAUGAUACCAAGGAAUCAUUAAUUUUGUUUGGCUGUGAUGUUUUAUUAUUAGAAUGAUGUUAUGAUUAAAUUUUAUUUUUGUCUGGAUACAGUGGCUCACACCUGUAAUCCCAGUGCUUUGGGAGGCCGAGGCAGAUGGAUCACUUGAGGCCAGGAGUUCCAGACCAGCCUGGCCAACACGGCGAAACCCCAUCUCUACUAAAAAUACAAAAAAUUAGCCAGGCCUGGUGGUGCACGCUUGUAAUCCCAGGUACUUGGGAGGCUAAGGCAGGAGGAUCACUUGAACCCAGGGGAGGCUGCAGUGAGCUGAGAUCGUGCCACUGCACUCCAGCUUGGGCAACAGAGCAAGACUCCAUCUUAAAAAGAAGAAAGAAAGAACUUCUAUUUUUUAAAUGUUUUUUCCUUUCAUUGAACUCCAUUUAUAGCCUUUCCAUUCAGAGCAUAAAGAUUAAAUUUUAAAACAAGGCUUGGCACCCUGGCUUAUGCCUGUAAUCCCAGCACUUUGUGAGGCCAAGGUGGGCGGAUCACCUGAGCUCAGAAGUUUGAGUCCAGCCUGGCUAACAUGGUGAAACCCCAUCUCUAAAAGAGUACACAGUCCUAGAGCAGUGGUGUGCGCCUGUAGUCCUAGCUACCUGGGAGGCUGAACCAGGAGAAUUGCUUGAGCCUGGGAGGCAGAGGUUGCAGUGAGCCAAGAUCGCACCAUUACACUCCAGCCUGGGUGACAGAGAGAGACCCUGUGCCCCUCAAAAAAAUGUUUUUUUUAAACAAGAAUCUCUCAGGCAUACUGAAAUGUUGAAGAGGAAAUUAUAUUAAUAUCUGGGACUUGUUUCCAAAUUUGGAAUUGGGGCAGGGUGUAAAUUGUUGGCAAUAUCAAAGAAACGAGGAGUUGGAAUGAUAAUUGUAGAAGCUGCAUGAUAGAUACACAUUCUUUAUACUUCUGUAUAUGUUGAAAUUUUUUAUCAAAUUAUAAUUGUGUAUAAUGACUAAUUAUGCUUUCAUUGUCUAUUCUGUGUGGUUAUGUUACUUGCUGAAAUUAAUACAUAAAGAGUCUUCAACUUAAAUGACUUAUCAAGCAUAAAUAUUAAAAUACUGGAUGUUACUACACAUUUGACUCCACUUAUGCAUUUAUUCAUCAACUAUUAAAUGCUUUCAUGUAGAUUUCUCAUUUAAUCUCUGCAAGGUAGGUGUUACCCCUGGUUUUACAAAUGAGAAAAUGUAGAUUCAAGAUAAGUAAUAUGCAGGUCAAGAAUAGCAAAAUCGGUCGGGUGCGGUACCUCACGCCUGUAAUCCCAACACUUUGAGAGGCCGAAGUGGGUGGAUCACCUGAGGUCAGGAGUUCAAUCCCAGCCUAGCCAAUACAGUGAAACCCCAUCUCUACUAAAAAUACAAAAAUUAGCCAGGCAUGAUGGCAGGUGCCUGUAAUACCAACUACUCGGGGGGUUGAGGGAGGAGAAUCGUUUGAACCCGGGAGGUGGAGGUUGCAGUGGCCCGAGAUUGUGUCACUGCACUCCAGCCUGGGCGACAGAGCUAGACUCCAUCUAAAAAAAAUGAAAAUAGCAAAAUUACAACUUUUCCCCCAUUUGGUCUUCCACCUGGAAACUCAUGUUUUAUUUCUACUGUUACCAUGCUGCUUCUCAGACAUGCCUGACUGUUUCUUCCCGUGCUGUUUUCCUUUAGGAGUGAAAGCUUGGCACAACAUGUACAAUAAAAUUUAGGGAAGAUUUUUGGGGUCUUUGUCCUCUUCUUUCCUGUUAAAGCAGCUAGAGUCAGUAGGCAGGACCUAAGGUGUACUACACCAUAAGGAAGCCAUGGAACGGUGAACUGGCAAAAUUCUAGACCCAACUCAUGAAAUUUUGGUUCUUCAAGAAUUUCUUUGACUGCUAUUACCUGUAUUUGUGUUGAUUACUGUUCAAUAUACUGGGUCUCAUCUCACUUUCAGAACAUAAACGAAGAGCUUAAUCCCAACGCACUUGUCUUUGUCCUCCUUCCUGUCUAUGUGUUAUGCAUCUUCUCAAUUAGAAGGCAUGUCUGUACAGCUCAGCAGCUCAGGAGUAAAUGCAAGGUACAAACAUUCCCAACGCUGAGCAGCCACCCCAGCCAUUCAGUCAUUGCUUUCUCAUUCUUCUCAAGGACAUUCCAAGUUUGCAAUAUAGGGAAGCUUGAGACAACCCCUAUGCCCAAACUGAUUGUAAUAGUGGAGCUUUAUGAAUUACGUAUAGUAUAGCAGAGGUUAACUAAAUUCUCACCCUGAAGUGUGUGAAGAGACCAGAUUUUGUAAGCACUUGUGGUUAGAGACCCAAGAAAGGAUCCACCUAUUGAGGUCUUAACAUGGGUUCUAUGUAUUUAUACUCACUUAAUUCCUUCUAACUUGCCCCCACCUCAGAAAAAAAGACACCAUACUUAGGCAAAUCUAGACCCAACUAUGCUUAAAGCAGUCCUUUGCUGACUAGCCCAUAGAGUUGCUUAUAUGAGAUAGACUUGCAGCUGUAUGGUACACUUUCCCUGCCUCUAGCUUUCUGCAUCUCCAGGCUAGAGAGAAUUAAUGACAACAAAAGUACAGACUCCAGUUUUACCCACAGAGAUACCCUUUGACCAGACAAAAACACAGGAUCGGCCUUGAGUGGUGGCUCAUGCCUGUAAUCCCAGCACUUUGGGAGGCUGAGGCAGGCGGAUCACGAGGUCAGGAGUUAAAGACCAGCCUGGCCAACAGCGUGGAA